CCGACGGUGAGGGGCGAAAGCCAGGGGAGCGAACGGGAUUAGAUACCCCGGUAGUCCUGGCCGUAAACGAUGCGUGUUAGGUGUUGGUAGGGCUCUGAGCCGUAUCAGUGCCGUAGGGAAACUGUUAAACGCGCCGCCUGGGAAGUACGCUCGCAAGGGUGAAACUUAAAGGAAUUGGCGGGGGAGCACCACAAGGGGUGAAGCCUGCGGUUCAAUUGGACUCAACGCCGGGAAACUUACCGGGGGC
rnacentral:rRNA from 1 species